rnacentral:rRNA from 1 species
AUUGAACGCUAGCGGGAUGCCUUACACAUGCAAGUCGAACGGAGUGGCGAACGGGUGAGUAAUGUAUCGGACCGUGCCCAGUAGCGGGGGCUAACUACGCCAACGCGUAGCUAAUACCGCCUACUCUUGGAGCGGCCGUUUUGUGCGUAGCUAGUUGGUGGGGUAACGGCUCCCCAGGGCGACGACCCGUAGCUGGUUUGAGAGGACGUUCAGCCAACCUGGGACUUAGACACGGCCCUGACUCCUACGGGAGGCAGCGGUGGGGAAUUUUGGACAGUGGGGGAAACCCUGAUCCAGCCAUGCCGCGUGUGCGAUGAAGGCCUUCGGGUUGUAAAGCACUUUUGGCAGGAAGGCGGUACCUGCAGAAUAAGCACCGGCUAACUACGUGCCAGCAGCCGCGGUAAUAC